GACUUUCUGGACAAGAAUGAUGAAGAGU
rnacentral:piRNA from 1 species